rnacentral:rRNA from 1 species
GACGAACGCUGGCGGCGCGCCUAACACAUGCAAGUCGAACGGAGCUGAGAGAAGCUUGCUUUUCUUAGCUUAGUGGCGAACGGGUGAGUAACGCGUGAGUAACCUGCCCUGGAGUGGGGGACAACAGUUGGAAACGACUGCUAAUACCGCAUAAGCCCACGAUCCGGCAUCGGAUUGAGGGAAAAGGAUUUAUUCGCUUCAAGAUGGACUCGCGUCCAAUUAGCUAGUUGGUGAGGUAACGGCCCACCAAGGCGACGAUUGGUAGCCGGACUGAGAGGUUGAACGGCCACAUUGGGACUGAGACACGGCCCAGACUCCUACGGGAAGCAGCAGUGGGGGAUAUUGCACAAUGGGGGAAACCCUGAUGCAGCGACGCCGCGUGGAGGAAGAAGGUUUUCGGAUUGUAAACUCCUGUCGUUAGGGACGAUAAUGACGGUACCUAACAAGAAAGCACCGGCUAACUACGUG